UUCCCUGCGGUGUUCGAAAUAAGGUGAAAUGCCCUUGGACCUAAUUACCUAUUCGGGAAGACAGAUCACUUUGCUGGUGUGCAUGCUCUUACAAUAGAGAAGCCUAAUGCAAAUGUCCGACCCCCACUUGAACUUUACGGUUCAAGGUAGAAACCUGAAUGCGGCGCUAGCGGGGA
rnacentral:other from 1 species